rnacentral:rRNA from 1 species
UACGAAGGGUGCAAGCGUUGCUCGGAAUUAUUGGGCGUAAAGGGUAGGUAGGUGGUUACGUAUGUCUGAGGUGAAAUCCCUAAGCUUAACUUAGGACGUGCCUUGGAAACGGCGUAACUAGAGUGCUGGAGAGGUUCGUAGAAUUCCCGGUGUAGCGGUGAAAUGCGUAGAGAUCGGGAGGAAUACCAGAGGCGAAGGCGGCGAACUGGACAGUAACUGACACUAAACUACGAAAGCGUGGGGAGCAAACAGG